UGGCUGUGAUGAUUUCCUAUUGCCGUUUACCCGUCUGAGGAUAACCGUGCCUGAGAAAUUUUGGAAGAUGGCUGAGCCG
rnacentral:snoRNA from 1 species